UUUGUCUAACUAUAAGAGGUCAAGCCUGCCCAGUGACAUUGUUCAACGGCCGCGGUAUUCUAACCGUGCGAAGGUAGCGUAAUCACUUGUCUUUUAAAUGAGGACUAGUAUGAAUGGCUUCACGAAGGCUAUACUGUCUCCUUUAUUUAAUCAGUUAAACUAAUCUUCCCGUGAAGAAGCGGGAAUAAACCUAUAAGACGAGAAGACCCUAUGGAGCUUUAAACACUUCUAAACAUUUGACACCUGACAUUUCAACUUUCAGAAAACUUCAUUAAACCCAUCAAUUUGUUUUAAGUUUUAGGUUGGGGUGACCACGGAGAACAACCAAACCUCCACGUAGAAAGAACCUCUCUCUAAGCAAAAAGCUACAGCUUUACGCAUCAAUAAUACUGACCUUAAUUGACCCAUUCUUUGAUCAACGAAC
rnacentral:rRNA from 1 species